GACGAACGCUGGCGGUGUGCCUAAUACAUGCAAGUCGAGCGGACAGAUGGGAGCUUGCUCCCUGAUGUUAGCGGCGGACGGGUGAGUAACACGUGGGUAACCUGCCUGUAAGACUGGGAUAACUCCGGGAAACCGGGGCUAAUACCGGAUGGUUGUUUGAACCGCAUGGGUAAAACAUAAAAGGUGGCUUCGGCUACCACUUACAGAUGGACCCCCGGCGCAUUAGCUAGUUGGUGAGGUAACGGCUCACCAAGGCAACGAUGCGUAGCCGACCUGAGAGGGUGAUCGGCCACACUGGGACUGAGACACGGCCCAGACUCCUACGGGAGGCAGCAGUAGGGAAUCUUCCGCAAUGGACGAAAGUCUGACGGAGCAACGCCGCGUGAGUGAUGAAGGUUUUCGGAUCGUAAAGCUCUGUUGUUAGGGAAGAACAAGUAUCGUUCGAAUAGGGCGGUACCUUGACGGUACCUAACCAGAAAGCCACGGCUAACUACGUGCCAGCCGCCGCGGUAA
rnacentral:rRNA from 1 species